UUUUUUUUUUUUUCUUUUCUUUUUACGGCCACAUCUUUCCUUUUUACGAGUGCAUAUGGAAGUUCCCAGGCUAGGGGUCAACGCCACAGCCACAGCAACUUGAGAUCUGAGCCACAUCUGUGACCUACACCGUAGCUCAUAGCAAUGCCAGAUCUUUAACCCACUGAGCGAGGCCUCAUGGAUGCUAGUUGGGUUCUUAACCCUCUGAGCCACAAGGGGAACUCCUACGCUGCCUUUUUUCGGCCUUAACUAUAGCAAUAAUUAACAUUAAAUAUAGAUAAGAAAUGUCCGUUAUAUUGAAUGGAAAUUGUCUUAAGCCACUUGAUGUAAACUAAGGCUGUCAUCAGGAAACUAGCAAAGUCACACUCAAAGGAACUUUCAAGUUACAUUUGUUUUCAAGUUAUAUUUGCCACUUUACUAAAAGAGCAGACUUUUUUUCCCACUGCUUUUCUUAUCAUAAGAGUCAAUACAGCUGUAGUGCAAUGAGCUAGAGGCGCUUCUAUCCCACGCCGCAUAAAUACCAAUUGUCAGAGAAAUUAAAGGAGGUAUAUUAUCUUCAUGUGUUACUGAAAUGAGCAGACUUUUUUUCCAAAGUCCGGGGUGAUUUUCUAAAACCCAUGCUGUUGAAAUACAAUCUCGUAAUGUAAUUAGCCCAUAGUUUGAGAAAGAAAAUUCUCUGUUGUUCCACACUGCUUUUUAAACUCCUAGGUGCUCAAGGCCCCUUAUAAACAUCAGACUUUUGUUCCCUUAAACACAUUUGUGUCCCCUCCUCUAUUAAAUUAUUUGUAGGCAAAGUGAGCCUUAUAGAAAGCAACUUCUUUUGCUUUUCAAAUUCUAAUUUCUAAGAAUCGAGAGCACUGUUGUUUGUUUUCACAUAACAGAAAAUUGCAAAGUUGACAUCAUGCUAUUUCUUUGCAGUUGAAGUUAAGGAAGAUCUGGUGUUUACUCUCUCCAGCUGCCAGGUGAGAUAAACCCCAGUUAUGCCCUUGGUCAAGAGGCAGUAAGGAGAACAAAGACCCCCUCAGAUCUGACAGCUUGUCCCAGUGCUGGGACCACAAAGACAUCGUCCAUGCAGAAGCUCAGCUGGUGCCAGGGAUAAGAAGCUGUUUCACGUGGGCACCAGGGAAGCAGCAAGAGUAGAGAGGCUGAAGGACUCCAUAGGAAUUCACUGUGACACACCAAGGCCUAAACCAAAAUAUUUCAAGCAUUCCCUUCUUUGCAAGAAAAGUUAUUUUUCAACUGUUCUGAUUGAGAAUAUAGAAGCUGCUAAUAUGUAUAAAAUUCCUAUGAAUAUGCCAGACAUUGCACUAAAAGCUUUUACUCAGGUGAUCUAAUGUAAUCCCCAGUCAAGUAUUACUAUCUUUAUUUUACAGGUUUUUGAAACUAUGUUCCUUAGAAAUAUAAGGCCAGGUGUUUGAAACUAUGUUCCUUAGAGCUCCCUUGGGGGAGGAGGCAGAGCUGAGACUGGCCAGGAGCCUGAGGAAUGAGAGGCCGGGCUGCAGGACCCCCAUUUGUAAAUUAGCCAGAGCAUUUCUGCUUUGUUCUAUUUUGCUCAUUAGGCCUAAGUGGAAGCUGUUCUUUAAAGAGUUCCAAGGUACAAGGUAAUUUUAUGGGCCAACUUGGCAGGGCUCUAGUUAUUUAAUACUCGAGGUGUGGCUGUGAAGGUAUUUUGUAGAUGUGAUUAACAUCUAUAAUCAGUUGUCCUUAAGCAGAUUACCUCCAAGAACGUGGGGUGGGCGGGCCUCAUGCAACCAGUUGAAAGGCCUUAAGAGCAAAAACGGAGCUUCCUGGAGAAGAAAUUCUAGCUCAAGACUGUAACACUAAUUCCUGCCUGAGUCUGUCCUACAUACUUUGGACUCGCCAACCCCCCAAAUCGCCAGGAGCCAAUUCCUUAAAAUAAAUAUCAUUCUCUUGACACAUGCACGUAUACAGGCAUACCUCAGGGAUACUGUGGUUUCUGUUCCAGACCACGGCAAUAAAUUGCUUUUCGCAAGAAAGCAAGUCGCACGAGUUUUUUGGUUCCCCCCAAAUUUAUGUUUACACACUAGUGUAGUCUAUUAAGUGUGCAAUAGCAUUUUAUCUAAGAAAAUGUACAUACCUUCAUUUAAAAAUACCUCAUGGCUAAAAAAUGCUAACCAUUAUCUUACCCUUCAGUGAGUUAUAAUCUUUAUGCUGGUGGAGGGUUUUCAGCUACUGCGGGAAUUAACAAAAUGUGACAGAGAGACCCCAGGUGAGCAAAUCCUGUAGGGAAAAAUGGUUCCAACAGUGUUGUUACAAACCUUCUGUUUGUUAAAUAAAACAUAAAAAGGCAGUAUUUGUGAAAUGCAAGAAAACAAAAUGUAAUAAGACAAGGUAUGGCUGUAUAUGUGUAUAUAUCUCAAUCUUAUUAGUUCUGUCUCUGGAAAACCCUAAUUCUCGUGGCUCAAAGAAAAGGGGAGUGUCUGCAGGCUCCAGCAUGAGCAUCAGCUGGGAGGUUGUUAAAUAUGCACAAGCUCAGGUCACACACCAGGUUUACUCAAUCAGAAACCACAUUUUAAUAAGAUCCACAGAUGAUCCCCAAGCACAAUAAAAUUGGAGGGCUUAACAGAAUAAAGAUAGUGAACCACAGUGCAUUUUACCUGAAUAAAAUUCUCCAACAUUUCAGCCUUGAGAGGGGAGAUCCUCUGCGGAACUUCUGAAAAAGAAUAAAAACUCCAACUU
ensembl:lncRNA